UCGAGCGAGUCUGCCUUGAAGAUCGGAGUGCUUGCACUCUGUGAAACAAGAUACAGGCUAGCGGCGGACGGGUGAGUAACACGUGGGUAACCUGCCCAAGAGAUCGGGAUAACACCUGGAAACAGAUGCUAAUACCGGAUAACAACAGAUGAUGCCUAUCAACUGUUUAAAAGAUGGUUCUGCUAUCACUCUUGGAUGGACCUGCGGUGCAUUAGCUAGUUGGUAGGGUAACGGCCUACCAAGGCGAUGAUGCAUAGCCGAGUUGAGAGACUGAUCGGCCACAUUGGGACUGAGACACGGCCCAAACUCCUACGGGAGGCAGCAGUAGGGAAUCUUCCACAAUGGACGCAAGUCUGAUGGAGCAACGCCGCGUGAGUGAAGAAGGGUUUCGGCUCGUAAAGCUCUGUUGUUGGUGAAGAAGGGCGGGGGUAGUAACUGACCUUUGUUUGACGGUAAUCAAUUAGAAAGUCACGGCUAACUACGUGCCAGCAGCCGCGGUAAUACGUAGGUGGCAAGCGUUGUCCGGAUUUAUUGGGCGUAAAGCGAGUGCAGGCGGUUCGAUAAGUCUGAUGUGAAAGCCUUCGGCUCAACCGGAGUAUUGCAUCAGAAACUGUCGAGCUUGAGUACAGAAGAGGAGAGUGGAACUCCAUGUGUAGCGGUGAAAUGCGUAGAUAUAUGGAAGAACACCGGUGGCGAAGGCGGCUCUCUGGUCUGUUACUGACGCUGAGGCUCGAAAGCAUGGGUAGCGAACAGGAUUAGAUACCCUGGUAGUCCAUGCCGUANACGAUGAGUGCUAAGUGUUG
rnacentral:rRNA from 1 species